UAACUUAGUGGCGGACGGGUGAGUAACGCGUGGGGAACCUGCCUUGCACCGGGGGAUAACACUUAGAAAUAGGUGCUAAUACCGCAUAAGCGCACAGAGCCGCAUGCUCGGUGUGAAAAACUCCGGUGGUGCAAGAUGGACCCGCGUCUGAUUAGCUGGUUGGCGGGGUAACGGCCCACCAAGGCGACGAUCAGUAGCCGGCCUGAGAGGGUGAACGGCCACAUUGGGACUGAGACACGGCCCAAACUCCUACGGGAGGCAGCAG
rnacentral:rRNA from 1 species